rnacentral:rRNA from 1 species
GCGAAAACUUUACAAUGCUGGCAACAGCGAUAAGGGAACCUCGAGUGCCAGGUUACAAAUCUGGCUGUCGAGAUGCCUAAAAAGCAUUUCAUAGCAAGGGCCGGGCAAGACCGGUGCCAGCCGCCGAGGUAACGCCGGCGGCUCGAGUGGUAACCGUUAUUAUUGGGUCUAAAGGGUCUGUAGCCGGCCGGAUAAGUCUCUUGAGAAAUCUGGCAGCUUAACUGUCAGGCUUUCAGGAGAUACUGUCUGGCUCGAGGCCGGGAGAGGUGAGAGGUACUUCAGGGGUAGGGGUGAAAUCUUGUAAUCCUUGAAGGACCACCAGUGGCGAAGGCGUCUCACCAGAACGGACCUGACGGCAAGGGACGAAAGCUAGGGGCACGAACC